rnacentral:lncRNA from 1 species
UGUUUAUGGCACCUUGGCCAGGAGGAGCCCAGACAGGUCCCGUUCUGUGGCCCGAGACCAGCACCAGGCCCUCUUGCCUGCCCCAUGCAGUCCCCGCGGCCCGCAGUCUCAGGCCGGCUCAGGCCGUGCUCCGGCCCCUCCCUUUGCUCGGAGUCUGCUGGGUGAAACCUCAGUGGGCCCACCUGGUGUCUGCUUUCCCUUAGCACAGUGAUGCUGCCCUCCUCCACGACGGAGCCAAUUGCUCCACACUGGAGGUCGUCUGUGGAUAGAAGACAACCACAGGUGGCAGAGCCACCAGAGCCGGAAGGAGCCACCGUGACGACAUCAGCCACGUGCUUGCUUUGUGUCUGUCCCCAGGACUCCUCAUUGCUGGGCCUGUGCUGCCCUGAGGACAGAGAGUCUCUGUCACCAUGAUGCUCACGCCCUGGCUGGGAAAUGACAACAAACUCUGAACAGAAAAUCUGGAAAAUAUAUAAAAUAGAAGGACGGAAAAAUGCUCCUGUGGUCCCAUUGCCUGCUCACACUCUGAAGUGCCCGGCAGCAUCUACGCACAUGUGUCUUUAACCAGAGGUGGACACAGUGCACAGACAGCGUUGUCCUGGAGCCUAUCCACCAUUCCUCUGCUGCACCUGGACGGUUCCGGGGCCUUCUUCAGGGGCUCCAGCCUUGAGAUGGUUCCUCAGGCCCUGGUUUCAGAGUCAGACUAGCAUGAAAGUACCUGUCACUCC